UACGUAGGGGGCAAGCGUUGUCCGGAUUUACUGGGCGUAAAGAGCGCGCAGGCGGUCGUGUAAGUCGAAUGUGAAAGCCCCCGGCUCAACUGGGGAGGGUCAUUCGAUACUGCUCGACUCGAAGGCAGGAGAGGGAAGCGGAAUUCCCGGUGUAGUGGUGAAAUGCGUAGAUAUCGGGAGGAACACCAGUGGCGAAGGCGGCUUUCUGGCCUGUUCUUGACGCUGAGGCGCGAAAGCUAGGGGAGCAAACGGG
rnacentral:rRNA from 1 species